CCUACGGGAGGCAGCAGUGGGGAAUAUUGGGCAAUGGAGGAAACUCUGACCCAGCAACGCCGCGUGAGUGAUGAAGGUCUUCGGAUUGUAAAACUCUUUAAGCAGGGACGAAGAAAGUGACUGUACCUGCAGAAUAAGCCUCGGCUAACUACGUGCCAGCAGCCGCGGUAAUACGUAGGAGGCAAGCGUUAUCCGGAAUGACUGGGCGUAAAGGGUGCGUAGGUGGUUUGGCAAGUUGGUAGCGUAAUCCCGGAGCUCAACUUCGGUGCUACUACCAAAACUGUCGGACUUGAGUGCAGGAGGGGUGAAUGGAAUUCCUAGUGUAGCGGUGGAAUGCGUAGAUAUUAGGAAGAACACCAGCGGCGAAGGCGAUUCACUGGACUGUAACUGACACUGAGGCACGAAAGCGUGGGGAGCAAACAGG
rnacentral:rRNA from 1 species